UUCAGUCUGAGGGGGACCAUACGAUCCUGCCCACUGCCGACUAAGCAGUCUAGCCUAGGCUGCAGUGCAGCCGAAAUGGGGGCAUGGCCCCAUGCCAUAUAUUAGGCAAAAAAACUAACUCACUGGUUAAUUUAACGUUAGUCACCAAAUUAAAGCAUUUGUUGUAGGCUACUGCCUGGCUUCCCGUGCGGGAGCACUUUCAUACAGAGGGCUGCGUUAAACUGCUAGGUUUAGUUACUCGAAACAGUUUAAAAAUCCAUCGCGUCGCUUGCGUGGAGGUCCGCUGUGAAACUUCGGGUGAAACGGGACAAAAACAACAACAGAGGCUUUAACCUGUUUUCUCCUUUAAUCCACUGCAGUACAAGAGCUAUUUGUGCAGACAAUCAUGGUUCCUGCUUCAAAAACAGACUAACAGGAGCAAUGGAGGAUCCCCUGAGGAUUGGACGCUGGGUCCCUGUGCUGGCCAGGAUGCAGAAAUGCUGCCAUGAAAAUUCAGCAUUCCUUCCGCCUGAUGUGGGCUAGAAAUAGUCUCUCCAUUAACAUUAAUUGAGUGGGGUGGGGGUGGGGGUGGGGGGAUCAUCUCCCCACCCCCCAUAUAUAUUUUUUUUGUUUUCUAAAUUGUGUACAUCUUUAUUUUUUAUGGUAUGUGGUAAAGAUGAAUUAUGACCUUGGGGCUGAUUUUAUUUCCCCAUGUGUAUGAUUUAAUACUAUGUUAGAAGCGCUUGGGACUCUAAGCCUUGUUGAUAAGCUCAAGUUUUUUGGAGGAGAUGGAGAAAUGCCAAAUGACACAAAGCACCUCGCGACAGGCAUGACAGAUUGGAGCUGUAAAAGACCCACACGUCUGUGUUGUUUACAACCUCCAUGGGCAGCCCCAACCCCCCCCCCGCCUCCCAGGGGCCGAGAGAACCUGCAGCAGCAUGUCACCCACUUGACCACACCCCAAAAAGCAGGAUCCUUUUUAUUUCAGCAUUUGUACCGUUCUGUAGCUCCAUGGACCUGCCAAGGACCAAGUUUUUCUUUUCCAUAUUUGUAGUAUCACUGCUAUGGGCAAAUAUGCCCACUAACCAAAUACACUUUCUCUUCCAGCUCACAAAUCCCUGAAUCCUAAAUUAUGCCAGACCGUGAACUCAUUGAGUUAGUUGGUCUCUGUUACACUGGUUCUCCCGCCGUUUCAGAUUCAACUCUGCCUCCACUCUACAGCAACUGAUCUGUCUCCACACACUAAACUGCUCAAACAAUACCUACUAUCUCACACUCUACAGUAUUUACUAAGGCUAAGAGUCCCUAAUUCCCAUGCAGUUAGUAGAAGCUUUAUAGUACAUAGGGUGUGCUUUUUUUUUUUUUUUUUUUUUUUUUUUUUUUUUUUUUUUUUUUUUUUUUUUUUUUUUAAUUAUUAUUAUUUUUUUUAUAAAGACCUUGUUUUAAGGUUUUUAGCUUCUUUUUUUUUCUUUUGCUCUGCCAGUAUAUUAAAGUGUAAUCAUGUGCGUUGUGAUAUAGAAGUAGCUGUAGAAAACGCAUCGUUUCCUUGUGGUAAGUGAUUGAGAUGCUGCCACGGAUUUGAGACACUGAUGAAUGGUGCUAUUUUGGACUGUAAUCUGCUCCUUGGUAAGGUAGCUAAGAUGGUUUUUAUUUCAUAUUUUAACGUUCAGAGGAGGUGUUGGUUCUUUGUUGUAUGGUUGUCGUAACUUGGUCUGGAUUGACUCCCCCCCCCCCUGUUGUUUCUCUGCGGCUUUCUCAUUGGAUUUCAAAGGAUGGACGUUACAACAAAAACAAACAAGCAAACAAAAAACCCGAACAGUUUUCUUUGAGGAGACAAUCUCUUGCAAUUUUAUGACCGUAAAGACAGCGGGAGCAAUCACAAAACUGCAAUUAAACAGUGUUUUCCCUUUAAGGUUGAGAGUUAGUAUGAAGGGUUAGUAGCCCUUCUUGGCAUUAGUAAUUUUGGCAAUAGCAAACCAUCUGUGAACUCUUUGUCUUUGAUAUAGUAGUGUCAAAGAUCUGUGUCUAGGAGUGUAUUUCACAUGGUUUAGCCAUUAAUUACUUUAAUUCAAAUAUACAGGAAGUCAGAAAAGGUAUUGUUGCAUAAUGUAAAUGUUGCUAUUUUAAUAUUCUUUGCAGUUGAAAUGGAAGUAGAUGCCUUGGAGGUUGGGUGGAGGUGGGCUUUUUUUAAAGCACUCGUUCUCUUUCUUAAGGCGCAUGAAUACUCUUUUACCCAGGGAAACAGCAAUGUAUGUUGUCUGCCUGAGGGUUAUUCCACAAAGCAGGAUUUGUCAGUUAACUGCAUAGCUUGGUCACCCAGAUACGGUUGACCUACGGGUGGCCUGCUAAUGGAGAAAUCUUGCUUUGUGCUGCGCCACCCCAUGCACUGGUUGCUCCAGGGUUACUAAUCUGGCUGCAUAUUCUUUACCAGCUGGUAAUUAUUGGAUGCUUCUGGGGUUCUGUAUGGCCUGGCAAAUGAGAUCCCAGCGCUCAGUAGCCAAAAUCUGAUCAUGCUUUUGUUCUGGGCUAAAAAUGUAGCACUGAUGAAUGAGUCUCACCUUUUUAAUCAAUGGUUUUAUGGAUGAGUCGUUGGUUGUUUUGAGAAUAGAAACCAAAACAGCUUUCUAUUUAUUCUUUUGGGUAAUUGAGUUCAGUAGCAAAGUAUUAUUAUUCAGUAUUUGCAGUUUUGUCUUUGCUUCCAGUUAACAUGUACUUUUAACAAUCCUAAUUCAAUGACCAACUUGAAAGCCCACGUCAGUUUCUUUGUCUUCCGUUUUUCCACUAUAGUGGGAACUUUCACAGCUUCUAAUCCUUCUCUAGUGCUGAUAGCAUACCAACAGCAUGCUUUCUGCUUUCUGCUUCUGUUUUUUGUUUUUUAAUUUUUCCCAUCUUGAUGCUAAUUCUGUUUGCGUUAUUCAGGUAUGCCAGCUGUCUUGUAAAUAGCGAGUAGCUUAGUAUCGACAUACCAUAGCAAACUCUGCCUAUGUAAUAACCAUUGGUGUAAAAAAAAAAAAAAAAAAAAUUUGUCAGCUUGUGAUCGAUAAUGAUGCACUAUGUAUUGUACAAGUAAUUUUGGCAAUUUAAGCAGUAGAUGAAUAAAUAUGCAAGCUCUCUUUG